UCAAAGGAACAGCUCUUGGAGAAGGUGAAGAAAUGCCUUCCAGGCAUUUUUGAUGUGUUGGAUGUCAAUGAAGCUUCUCCUGGGCUCCCAGUCAAUGAAGAGUCUUGCUGGUGCAACUGCCUGAACUGACAGGAGAUGCCUGGGAGCAGAAUAACUGCAGAGUGGAUGCAACCAACUGCAUCAAUAGGAUGGCCUACUUAAACCUUUGUAUUUUGACAAUCACAUGUGUGACUGGCAUGAGCAGAUCCAGGAGCCUGUAGGUGCCCAAUGCGUACUGGCUGCCUGAUCCCUUCUGCACAUGCACAAAAGUGGUUCUGUGAGUCAAAGAAGGCAUUCCUAGUCUGACUCCUGCUCAUCCGGAACCUGCACUGGAAUGGCAUACCUCUUCCUGGCUUCCCGCUGUUCAGCUAUCACCCCCUGCCUGUUUCCUUGCCCAGCCAGUUCCUGUUGGUUCACUUUUCAGCUCUCCCUGGCCAAAAGACUCUUCAGCACGAUUUCUAACAGUCUGGCAAUAUUCCUUUUGCACCAAUCCCUCAUCUCAGCUUCUGAGUUCUUGUGUGGUUGGGUUCAAACAACUAGCCUCCCUAAUAGAUGUGCAGGUCAUCUGCUGUGUAUGGAAUCUCUAUUACUGUAUGAAUGAAUGUGGAUCAAUGCAAAGCUACUGCUUUAAUGUGCAUCUAGCCAUCUUAAGAGAACCUGCCUGGAAGCUAUAAAGAUUAAUAUAACAGUCACAGAGAAGCAUUUUUCUAAGCUCUCAUCACAUCAGCAAAACCUAUGCUAUUAUCCUUGAGCCCUUAGGCUCUUACAUGGUUGUAAACAUGUUGAGUAGCUUUUAUAGGUUCAUCAUGAAAUCACAACUCAGAUGUUAAUAGAAUUACAGUCAAAACAGUUAUUAUUAAGCGCAUCAAU